rnacentral:lncRNA from 9 species
GAGCGAGUGAAACAGUGCAGUGACUGAAGAGAAUUCUCUCCCGUUUCCCAUGAUUUAUCACAGGCGAGGUCACGGCAGGUUAAAAUACUUGAACGCCGCGAUAGCAUACGUCCUGGCAUGGUUUUAUGAGUAGUCAUUCAUAACAUAUUUGUCGCAAAGCAUAAUUUCCAAGAUAGAACCCUGAUCCACAUGCAGUUUUUUUUUUUCACAGCAACAACACAGGCGCAGUAACUCCUUCGUGGAGGCUGCUUCCAUUUUCACAAUGUCCAGCUCCACGCUAGAGCUUCGGGGAAAGGGACCGAGGAAGUGACUGGUUCGCCAACUGAAACUACAAAUCCUAGAGCUGCAACUAUAUUUUAUAAAUGGCCCUCGUUUGGUUCCUGCAUAACAAAUAAUGUCUUCUCAUUGAUGGGGGCUGUUUCAUGCGCCUGCCUUUUUGGAGAAAGAAAACAACUUCUAGUCUCAGGCUUGUAUGAAUCCAGCACUGUUUUUCACAACUUGUUUUCGCCUCAGCGACUUGACAUGGCUCCCUAUCCAUCGCCGGUCCCCACGCUCCACGGUAACGAGAUUUUAAAAACUGUCCAUUUGGCUCCUUCCUGAGGUUUUACUCAUUUUGAAACUUUGCCACGCUGGCUGGCAUGUUUCACAUUUGCUUAUCUCUGAGCUUACUCCCAAGAGCUGCUGAACUUUCCCUUCCAUGUCACUAAGCUGGGACAGAGUGAAGACGGAGAGGAAAGAGUUACUGUCUCACAAGCUGUGACUUUGUCUGUCCAGAGUGGCCCUUGGAUGCAGCUCAUUAUUUGUGGAAAUAGUGUGUGCCACGGGCAAAAAUAACUUUUUAAAAAAAGCACAUCUCUGUACCCUCCUGAAGUCAUCUCAAAAUGAAGUCAAGAUUUCUCAUGAAACGGAGAGAGCUUUAUCAUGGCCCGAGUGGGUCCUUGAGUACUUGUCCCCGCCACAUUGUCUGCUCUGAGCAACCUGAGGGUCCAGACCAAGCUAAAAGAGGCUUCAUGAUGAGCCCUGGGACAGACAAGACUGGGAGCCUUGGUGAAAGGGAGGAGACCCUGUGUCCCCGGUUUUGCCAAGUCAGCCUGGCCCAUCCUCUGACAGCUAAAUCAACACUCUUUAUCCUGUGGCGACUGAUAACGCAUCCACCGCUUCCUGCCAAGGAGGAAAUCCUGAUGGGACAUUAUCAGGGGCGAGACAUCAUCCGUCAGCCGCCGUCACAGGAACCCAGGGCUCAUCCAGACCCCACGCCAAUCUUUCCGCCUUUAUCUGCGCUCCCCAAAUGCCUCAGCCUGUUUGCUGAUAGAGGAAUCCGGCAUCUCCUCUUCUCAAGGACCCGAAAAAGAUUCUUCGAUAGCAAGAAACUAAGGUAGGCAUUAUGGAGUGUCAAGGAAAUUGGGAACGGGAAAUAGACACAGUGCCUUCCAUCAAGGAGCUUCCAACACUCCCACCGGGAAAAGGGGCAUCCGUGUACACACAGAGACAAGGGAAGCGCAUAACCACAGACCUGUAAUGGGAGGUACCCACCUUCCCGCGUGCCACCUGUCAGAACCCUUAGGGCUCACGUGACACCUGCGUGAGGAAGCAUCCUUCUCCCCUGCGUCGGUGCCCUCCUACCCCACACAGAAGCGAUUUCAUUAUAUUUCCAUCUAGGACUUCCCAUAUGGCUCACGACAUCAUUAUAUUUCUGUAGCAAACUGCAAAGCUAUCACCCUAGCAUAUACAGUAGCAUUUAAGUAACGGCAUAUUAAACUGCAGUCCUCAUUUCCAGAUGCUUUGCUUUAAAUUUGGAUAUAGCUGCAUCCGCUCUUGCGUGUUUUUUCAUUUGUCUCUUCCACCACAUUGUGCGCAAAAUGGAUGCU